rnacentral:ncRNA from 1 species
CACAAGAUGAUAAGAACCUGUGGAACUUCAGAAUCAACCACAGCACAGCUACACUCACAUCUACCAGGCCCAUCACCACUAAAACGCUGGUCCACAUUUUUCAGUUGGGGUGACCUUGGAGAAAAAUAAACCCUCCAAAACCAAAACCAUAUCUCUUGACUAAGAGCAACCCCUCAACAUGUUAACAGUAGCCAGAUACAUUAUAACUGAUCAAUGAACCAAGCUACCCCAGGGCACAGUCCCCUCCAAGAGCUGACAUCAAUGAGGGAGUUUAUGACCUCAGUGUUGGAUCAAGACAUCCUAGUGGUGCCGCCUCUACUAAGGGUUGGUUUGUUCAAUGAUUAGAGUCCUGUGUGAUCUGAGUUCAGACUGGAGCAAUCCAGGUAGGUUUCUAUCUGUG